rnacentral:rRNA from 1 species
UACAGAGGGUGCGAGCGUUAAUCGGAAUUACUGGGCGUAAAGCGCGCGUAGGCGGCUUUGCAAGUCGGGUGUGAAAUCCCCAGGCUUAACCUGGGAACUGCAUUCGAGACUGCAUUGCUAGAGUAUGGGAGAGGGAAGUGGAAUUUCCGGUGUAGCGGUGAAAUGCGUAGAUAUCGGAAGGAACAUCAGUGGCGAAAGCGACUUCCUGGACCAAUACUGACGGUCAUGUGCGAAAGCGUGGGGAGCAAACAGG